UACGUAGGUGACAAGCGUUAUCCGGAAUUACUGGGCGUAAAGCGUACGCAGGCGGCUGCUUAAGUCUGACGUGAAAUCUCCUGGCUUAACUGGGAGGGGUCGUUGGAAACUGGGCGGCUUGAGGUGGUGAGAGGGGUGCAUAAUUCCCGGUGUAGUGGUGGAAUGCGUAGAUAUCGGGAGGAAUACCAGUGGCGGAAGCGGCGUCCGGGCACUGACCUGACGCUCAUGUGCGAAAGCGUGGGGAGCAAACGGG
rnacentral:rRNA from 1 species